rnacentral:lncRNA from 1 species
GUGGAUAAGGUAACCUAGGGGUAGGAUGGAGGGUUGAGCCACAGCCACUUAUUUGGGAACUAAAUGCCAUGCCACAAGAUUUCAAGAUUAUGUUAGGCAUGAAUGACAGCUCAGGUGAUGUUAGAAACUAAUAUUAGUAUGGAAAACAUAGAUUGCCAAGCACGAAUCUAUCAGCCGUCAUAAUUUUCUUUUUCAUUUUUUUUUGAAAGGGGCACACUGCCCAAUCAAUUAAGAGAGAAAAGGUGAGGCUGAGGCACUUGCACCAGACACCACUCGUUAUCGUACGCGGGUUGGCUGCCCGAGCACCCUGCGAACUUAUGGAGUUUUUUAUGUUUUAAUCAUUUUUUAAUAAAUAUUUCAAUAUUAAUCAUCUCAAAAAAUAUUUUAUAUCAUAUAGUCUCUUUGGUUGCGUCAAUCCCGCUGGUGCAACCAGAUAACAUAGUCACACUAUAUGCGUUAGCGUGGCAAGAUACAUC